GUUUCGCUCUUGUUGCCCAGGCUGGAGUGCAGUGAUGCGAUCUCGGCUCACCGCAACCUCCAUCUCCCAGGUUCAAGUGAUUCUCCUGCCUCCGCCCAUUUCAUCUUAUUGUCUCCUUUACUGUGCAGGAGCUUGGAUGUAGUCCCAUUUAUUUAUUUUGAGCUUUUGAUAUGAUAUCCAAAAAAAUCAUUGCCAAGGCCAGUGUCCAGGAGCUUUUCCCCUGGGCUGUAAGAGUUUUAUAGUUUCUAUUUUUAUAUUUAGGUCUUUUAUCCAUUUUGAGUUGAUUUUUUGUGUGUAAUAGAAGAUAUGGGUCCAGUUUCAUUCUUUUGCAUGUGGAAAUCUAGUUUAUUAGCACCAUUUAUUGAAGGGAUUAUCUUUUCUCCAUUGUGUCUUCUUGGUACCCUCAUCAAAAAUUAGUUGACCCAUAUGUGUUUGGAUUUGUUUCUGGGGUCUCUAUUCUGUUUCACUGGUCUAUGUGUCUGUUUGUAUGCCAGUAUCAUACUGUUUUGAUUACUAUAGCUUUGUAAUAUAAUUUCAAAUCAGGAAGUGUGAUGCCCCCAACUUUCUUUUCUUCUUCAGCAUUGUUUUGGUUACUCAGGGUCUUUUAUGGUUACUCAGGGUCUUUUAUGGUUCCACAUGAAUUUUAGGAUUGUUUCUUCUUUUGCUGUGAAGAAUGACAUUGGGGUUUUGAUAAGGAUUGUUGAGUUUCUCAUCUUUACUUUUUUUCUUAAAUAAAACUAAGUUAGAUAAGGUGCUUUGUGGAUAGUGAGUCCGCUUCAUUGCUGUGCUGGUGAACACCCUUGGUCAGUUGGUGAGGAGGCCCCCACCAGGGUGGGCCAGGAAGAGACUGGUGAGGGUGAGCACUGUGCUUUAGCAAGAGCAAAGGUCCAUGGGGUGACUCGGGAUGAGAAAUGAGGAGCAGGGGGCAUUGCUGCUUCCUUCCCCUCUCCCCUCCCUGCAUGUCCCCUCCCCCUGCCACAUCCCCCACCCCAGCUUGUCACACCCCAUUACUGCAGACUCUAGUCUGCUGGUCUUGCCAGAGAAUCCUCCGCAAUAGAGGCAUGGGGCAGGGGCUGUAUUGCGGAAAGAGAGCAAACCUCUGCCCUUCUCUGAGCCUCAGUGUCAUCUGUAAAAUGAUGACAGGGAACCAAAUGAUCUCAGAGUAUCUGGUUGGUGUCUUGUCUCCCUCAGAAAUGUUGCAUUUAGAGCAGUGCACACAGUAGACACUUAAUAAAUGCCAUUGACCAUCU
rnacentral:lncRNA from 1 species